GAGGGUAUAGCUCAGUGGUAGAGUGCAUGCUUAGCAUGCAGGAGGUACUGGGUUCAAUCCCCAACACCUUUG
rnacentral:tRNA from 1 species